GAUCAUGGCUCAGGACGAACGCUGGCGGCGUGCUUAACACAUGCAAGUCGAACGAAGCUUGAUUACGGAUUCUUCGGAUGAAGUAUGAUAUGACUGAGUGGCGGACGGGUGAGUAACGCGUGAGUAACCUGCCCUUCAGAGGGGGAUAGCGUUUGGAAACGAACGGUAAUACCGCAUAAUGUAUUUUGACCGCAUGAUCGAAAUACCAAAGAUUUAUCGCUGAAGGAUGGACUCGCGU
rnacentral:rRNA from 1 species